GAUGAACGCUAGCGGCAGGCCUAACACAUGCAAGUCGAGGGAGAAGCCCUUUCGGGGGCAGAAACCGGCGCACGGGUGCGUAACGCGUAUGCAACCUACCUUUCACAGGGGGAUAGCCCGAAGAAAUUUGGAUUAAUACCCCAUAAUAUUAUUGGAUGGCAUCAUUUGAUAAUUAAAACUGCGGUGGUGAAAGAUGGGCAUGCGUCCUAUUAGCUAGUUGGAGUGGUAACGGCACCCCAAGGCUACGAUAGGUAGGGGUCCUGAGAGGGAGAUCCCCCACACUGGUACUGAGACAGGGACCAGACUCAUACGGGAGGCAGCAGUGAGGAAUAUUGGUCAAUGGUCGGAAGACUGAACCAGCCAUGCCGCGUGCAGGAAGAAUGCCUUAUGGGUUGUAAACUGCUUUUAUAUGGGAAGAAUAAGGCGUACGUGUACGUUGAUGACGGUACCAUAUGAAUAAGCAUCGGCUAACUCCGUG
rnacentral:rRNA from 1 species